rnacentral:misc_RNA from 1 species
GAUGAAGAACGUAGCGAAAUGCGAUAAGUAGUGUGAAUUGCAGAAUCCCGUGAACCAUCGAGUCUUUGAACGCAAGUUGCGCCUCAAGCCAUUAGGUUGAGGGCACGUCUGCCUGGGCGUCACAUAUCGUUGCCUGAUGCCAGUUUCCUCGUGAUGGGUGACUGUGCAGGGCGAAUGAUGGCUUCCCGUGAGCAUUGUUGCCUCAUGGUUGGUUGAAAAUUGAGUCCUUGGUAGGGAGCGCCGUGAUAGAUGGUGGUUGAGUGACGAACGAGACCCAAUCAUGUGAGACCCCUACCGAAUUUGGCCUUCAUGACCCACAUGCGUCUUUGGAACGCUCAUGACGAGACCUCAGGUCAGGCGGGGCUACCCGCUGAGUUUAAGCAUAUCAAUAAGCGGAGGA